GUUCAGUCAAGCAUCUAUCAUAAAUCAAAACAUCAAUAAAAGUUUUGAUUGAAAACCGCGUUUUUCAUGUUUUCUCAAAUUGCUAGAGUUUUCCAGUCAUUUAACAAAAGGUUUCGUGGAGGUGUCGUUAUGAGCGAUGAUCAACCGUUAUCACGCAGAUAUAUACCGUUUUCACCAGGUUUUCACGCAAAACUAUAAAGUGUUUAUAGCGAAUCAUAAAUUGGCGCGGGCUGCUUCCAAAAUAGAUUCCUCUCAUGGCUCAUCGCGGAAGGAAUCAUUUAACCCCGACUGCGAUACCAGCAGGAAGUUGAGUUCUCUUCUUGCCCAGCAGAUAUAUGAACCAAUGGUUUCUGAAUGGACCUUUGCUUUAAGCCUCAUAUCACUGGUCAUACUCCGGAUCCUUCAAGUUUU